rnacentral:lncRNA from 1 species
UCUGUUGCUUUUGAACCUUAAGCAGCAAGUGUAUAAGCACUCACAAAUUUGAUGAAUAAAAACUUAAGAAUACAUCUUUCUAUGCAGUUAAACUACAAGAAGAAAUAGACAUACUCCUAUAAAAAAUUGGCAAAAUAAUAAAGAUUCAUAGGCGGAUUCAAUAAGCAACAAAAAACUAAUUUUUUUAUUCCUUGAUAAGUGAGGGACUGAGAGAAGGCCGGAGGGGCUACGUGACUGAGCCGUUGAGGCUGGAGUGGCUCCGGCAAGUGCUUUUGUGACGAUUGGAUGAGUGGGUAAACAGAAAAGGGGAAAACUAAACCCUAAUGUUUUUUUAGUUUAAAAAAAACGAGAAAAAAGGUACUUACC